rnacentral:lncRNA from 1 species
CAAUGCCGAAGGUGGGAGGUCUCCACUCACUGCUAAUGCAAGAGCAAUGAGAAGGCAGUCACUAACCGGCAUUCAGACAUCCGGGCCCUGGAGAUCAUCUGUUAUAGGGAAGUCAUCUGACUCCUGUAAGUAAAAACAAACUAAAGCAUCAGUUAUCAGAACAUUGAAAUUCUUCUAGGUUAUGUUUGGUUCCCGGAAAAUAUUGAGGAAAGAAAAAAAAUGUAAAGGAAAAUGAUUUUUUCAUGUUUGGUUGUCCUAUGAAAAAUAUAAAAGAAAAUCAAAUAUAAUUAAAACUAAUUAAAAACUUGUGUAUUUUAAAAUUAUUUAAUGUUUAUAUUAAUGAGUUAAAAUAAAUAAAAUGAGUUUGAAGUAAAAAAUAAAAAUAACUUAUCAACUUUUAAUCUAUUUUUUAUUUUCCUUCACUUUUUCUUUCCUUCUAUUUUUCCUUUGUAUUUUAUUUCCCUUGCAUUAUUCCUCAAAUUUUAUGAGAACCAAACAUAGUCCUAGAGUUUCUUAAAGUAUAUAAAUAAAUAUAUUUAUUUUAUUUUAUUUUUUCUUUUUAUAGGUUCAAAUGAAACAAGGAAUGCCUAGACGCCUCCUCCAGUCCACCGGUCAGCCAAGAUGACAAAGCAAUGACAAUAAUAAUUAUAGAUGAGCAAAGAAGACUACGCUUGGUGCUUUAACUCAAAGCAUACUACUGACCACAAGCUGACAUUUGGGUUGGAAAAUUGUGUGACCAUGAUUAUGAGUGGAAAGGUCAGAUACUGACCCAUCAUUUGUUGAGUGUCAAGCCCCCACUUCUGAUUAAUAAUUAAUGUUACAUGAUCAAGCUCAUUCUUCUUCUUAUUGCAAGCCCUAAUAGUUGGGUUUAGGCUGAUUGAAAUGCAAUUGGUUCCAAAAAAAUUUGUGGGCGAGGCCCAUUUUGCCACCUUGAGAUUCAAUUUUGUAAUUUUGGGCUCAUUCCAUUUGUAUGUAAAUAAUUGUGAUGGUGCAUUAUGCCAAAUAUAUCUUUCACAACUUACAUAUUUUAUUCUAAAUUUACAACAUUAUUACUCUUGAUUAAAAAAAUAAUUAAUUGGAUUUCACUAUUUUUUUAGUUUAGAAGACAUAAAAAAGGGAAGAUUUUUUUUAUCAAAUUCUAUUUCAUGAUUUUAUAUCUUGAUAUGUAAUUUUCUAGAUUUUAUUAAUAUAUUUUUAAUUAAAAUGUUUAAAAUCGUAUAAAACCAUUAUUAUAUUAUAUUGUACAUAUUAAAUAUAUAAAAAGAAUUUUGUAUAUAUUAAAUAUAUGCAUUCUAUUAAAUAAUAUUAUUUUAAGUUGUAUUAUAUUUAACUUUGUCAAUUCUUUAUCUUUAACCAAAAUUUUAAUUGUAAUUAAAACCUUUCAUUUUACAAUUUUGAAACAAUACAGAAAGUUUUUGAAAAGAAUUGAAAGAAAAUAUGAUGGAAUCUAAGAAAGAGGUUUUUUCUUUAAUAAGUGGUGGAUAUGGAAUUCUGGAGGGUACGCUGUCUAUGGAAUUCUGAAGGGCUUGGCAGUAUGGGAAAAAAGAAGCGGGAAAGACCGAGAAAGAGGAUGGUUUAACCGUACCUCAUUAUUUGACCUUCUUUCAUGGGAUAUUUACCACAGUGGCAAUCUUAUUAAUAAUAAAGCGAUCAUUCUAGAAAUCUUCACACUCUUCUUUUAGCCUUCCCAUAAUUUCCCGCAUUUCGAUAUUUUAAAAUACUAAUUUUUAGUACCCAUAUAAAUUUUGAAAGAUCCAUGAUUAGUGUACUUAAAUAAAAAAACUCCAAUAAAAUCUAAUUUGUUACUUCAAAUUUGAAAAUUUUAAUACAACAAAACGGCAUUAUCAUUAUUAUUGUAAUUAAGUCAUUUUUAAUACUUGCUUUUAAAUAUCGUUUCAUGGUAUACAAUAAAUAUCAAUAUAUUAAAUCAACGUAAUUGUAUUAUUAUAAAUUAUAAAAUAAUGUUUUAUAUGAUAUAAGAUUCAUAUCAUAAUUAUAUCUAAAAUUUUAUUAGCUCGAUCUAAUCUUUAUGUUCUACCAUAAAUUGUGAAAGAGAAAGUAAAAAAAAGCAAUAUUAAAAUAUAAAAUUGAUUUCUAUCAACUUAUAUUAUAAAAAUAAUUGAGGUAGGCUAAUUUGUAUAAAAUUAUUAUUAAUAGAUAAUGUGCAUGUAUCAUGUAUGUUAUAAAAGCUUUUAACUUAUAUUAUUUUCCUAAUUUUUACUAUGUGAAAUAAAUUAUGCUAUUGUUAAUAAACUUUAAUGGUUUGUUUGGUCUUUUUUUUUCUUUUUUUUCUUUUUGAGAAUUUAAGGAAAAAAAUGAAAAAGAAAAUAAAAUAUAAUAUAAAAUUGAUAAAUUAUUUUACAUGUUUUUUUCAACAAUUAAAAUAUAUAAUUUUCUAACUUAAUUUUAAUAAUAUUUGAUUUUAUUUAUUUUAAGAGCAAUGAGAAUCUAAAAUUAUGUCAUUUCCGAAUAAGUAAAAACUUAAUGUCACUUUAGUCAUUACCCCAAUUUUUAUUUUUAAUGUUUAUUAAAAUUAUAUUUAUAUAAAACAAAAGAAAUAAAAUUCAAAGACAGAAGAGUUAAAAAAUAAAAAUAAAUAAUUGUUUAAAAUGGAUCAUUUUAGACUUGUAAAAGUAAUUCUCCCACGUUUAAAUUUUCAUAAAUAUUCUUUAAUAUUUAUAUUAUUUUUAUGUGUAUUUAAAAAAAAUAUUAAUUUUAUGGGAAAAAAUUGGAGGAUAAUUUCUUUUUUUCAAAUAGGUCAUUUUUUUAGACUGGAUGGAAUACAUGAAGGGUUAUUUUUUUUUUAAUCAAAUCACCAAAUAAUGAAAAUAUCGGAUAUAUCGAUACUUCGAUUUUACAGAUAUAUCGAAAAUAUCGGCGAUGAAUAUUUUUUCACAAAUAUUGUGUGUAGCGAAAAUUAUUUAAAAUUCACAUGAAUAUUUGGAAAAAGUCCAAAAAAUUGAUAAAAUAAGUAAGAAAACAAAUUUUAAAGUUAUUUUGAAUUUGAAUUUUAAAUUAGAUUGAUAUUUGAAUUUUAAAAAUAAUAAAUAUGAAUUUUGGAAGUAUAUAAAAUCAGAAUUGAGUUAAAAAAAAUAUUUGAUUUAUUGAAUAAAAAUAAUUUAUACAUAAAUAUAAUACAUAUGACAUUAAAAUAGUUUUUUAUAUCAAAAUAAAGAUUUAGUUUCAUCGUAUUAUUAAAUGAAAGAAGUUCAUCUUCUUAAACAAUAUUUAUUUUAAAUUUUUAAUUUUUUUUUAUUAAAAUAGGUUUUAUUAUAUUUUAAAUGAAAAUUUAAAUUAAUUUAUAUAAAAUAUUUUAUUUAAGAUUUAAUUUUUAAAAUUUUAUUAAAAUAUGUGAUAACAACUUUUUUUAUUAAUAUUAAUUUAUUUAAAUAAUUAAAAUUAAUAAUAAUUUAUUUUAUUAAAUUAAUUUUAAUUUAUAAAAUAUCAUCUAUAAAAUCGGAAAUUUCAAUUAAAAUAAAGACGAAUAAUUAAUAAUUAUUUAUAUAGAGGGAGGAAAAUUGUUUUCGUGAUUUAUUUCCUUUUUUUUUUUAAUCUCUACUAAAUUUAAAAAUCAAAAGGGCAACCCACUUCUCUCAUGGCGCCGCAUCAAGAAGCCCUUUCUGAAAUUGCCCUCCAAACGAGAGAAUCCCCUGUUUUCCUCUGCCACUCUCAAUCCUCGCAGGUACUAAUCUAAUUAUUUUUUUGGCAACCCCCAUUUGAUUCCCAAGAAAAUCCAUCCCCCAUUCAACCUUUGCCUGCAAAUCAUGAUCAGAUUACCAAAUAACAUCGUUUGUUUUUUUUUUUUUAUAAAAUGGAUAGAUUUUGUAUCCUGUGCGCGGGCUGAACUGGUAGGAAAUAUCCUAGUCCUUUAAUUUAUGCAAGAUGCUAAACUGGACAGAUUUUGUAUAAAAUUAAAGUACUUUAAUUUUCUCUUUUUUCUUUUUCAUCUGAAAGAUUGUUUAAUUGUUUGAUUUAGUUGUUUUUUUUCCCCACCUUUUUUAAGGCUCCGCUGGAAUUUGCUUUUUAUUUUGAGCAUUGUUAGAAAUUGAUACGUUUCAUUAUGAAUCAUCGUUUCACAGACAAGAAAAAAUGUAAUUUUUUUAUUCACUAUUUUAACCAUAAUUCUGUUUGGUUCCCAAGAAAAAACUAGGCAAAUGAAAGAAAAUGUUGAAAUUUACUUUGAAGAAAAAUGGAAUUUAAUACUGGAAUUCGAACUGUUCGUGGCUUUUGAAAACAUAAAAGAAGAAAAUAGGGCAAAAAUAUGUUUGGUGACACAAAAAGGUUUCUAAAAAAUAUUUCUUGGAAGAUCAUUUUUUAGGAACUUUGAAAUAUCGUAUUCGGUGUUUUCAAAAUAGCAAGCACUGUAUACCUUGAAAUCGGUCCUUUUCAGGAAUCCCUUCCAGCAUUCUUGCUGAGAUCUGAACAGGUGUUAAAAUUAUCAUAUCUUCAUUUGUUUUUGUUCUUAUUCUUUGCCCUAUUGUUCAGUUGUCAGACAUGACCGAAGAAGCAGGCAUGUUUAGGGUGCAUCAUACCAUUGGGAGUGUUCUAUGUUGCAAAUGUGGUAUUCCAAUGACACCUAAUGCUGCCAAUAUGUGUGUCAAGUGUUUGCGCACUGAAGUUGAUAUUACCGAAGGUUUGCAGAAGCAUGCCACCCUCGUGCACUGCCCUGAGUGUGAUAGGUACUUUCGGCCACCAAAAACUUGGAUUGAACCCCAAUUGGAGUCCAAAGAACUCUUAACUUUAUGCUUGAAAACAUUGAAGAAUUUGAAUCAAGUUAGGUUAAUUCAUGCGGAAUUUAUUUGGACUGAACCUCACUCCAAGAGGAUCAAGGUCAAGCUAAGGGUUCAGAAGGAGGUUCUCAAUGGAGCAAUACUAGAGCAGGCUUAUAUUGUUGAAUACGUUCAACAAGAACAUAUGUGUGAGUCUUGCUCUAGGGUCCAGGCUAAUCCUGACCAGUGGGUCGCUUCUGUGCAAGUCCGGCAACAUGUUCCUCAUAGACGAACUUUGUUUUAUUUAGAGCAACUUAUUCUGAUGCAUGAUGCUGCAAGGUGUGCCAAAAAAAUUAAGCCAAUGAAUCAGGGAAUUGAUUUCUUUUUUGCAAAUUGGAGUCAUGGAAAGAAAUUUGUUGAAUUUAUUGGUAAAAUGGUUCCGAUCAAGAGUCAUCGCCCCAGCCAACAACUUGUCUCCCAUGAUCCCAAGAGCAAUAACUACUAUUAUAAGUACACUUUGUCAGUUGAAAUCUGCCCAAUAUGUCGCGAGGAUCUGAUCUGUCUCCCUCGUGAAGUUGCAUCUGGUUUGGGGAAUCCUCAUUCUCUUGUGAUUUGCACAAAAGUAACAAACCGAAUCACUUUUCUGGAUCCUUAUACUCUCAAGCACCAUUGCUUAGAUGCUGAACAGUAUUGGAGGUCACCUUUUAAGGCUUUGCUUUCUAGUAGGCAGCUUGUGGAAUAUAUAGUAUUGGACGUGGGGAUUGUUUAUUCUGAAGUUCAUGUUGGGGGCUCUAAGUAUGCUUUAGCUGAUGCUCAGGUGGCUCGUCUAUCAGAUUUUGGAAAGAAUGAUACAAUUUUCAACAUAACAACACAUCUAGGCCAUCUUUUGAACCCUGGUGACCAUGCUCUCGGUUAUGACAUGUUUGCAACUAAUAGUAAUGACAUGGAACUUGAAAAAUACAGAGAUUUUGACCUUCCACCUGCAAUUUUGAUAAGGAAAACUUAUGAAGAAAACUGCCAAGGAAAGGGUGGGAAGCCUCCUCCAUUGAUGAGUAGAGAGUACGAAGAGUUCUUAAGGCGUUUGGAGGACAACCCUGAAUUGACGCUUAAUAUAUCAUUACAUGAAAAUAAGGAAUACCCACCACCAUCAGUUAGAGAUGGAGAAGAGGAUUCAGCUUGUGGGGCUUUGGAGAAGUUGCUUGCUAAUGUUGAUUUAAGUGAUGAUGAAGAUGGGGAUGACGCCAUGGCUGAGUGACCUGAAGCAUUUGAGAAGUAAAACAAUAAUACUAUGGACACCAUUGAUGAAUUAAACCUUAUCUGGAAGAAAGAGGAUUAUUAUACUAAUCAUCAGCGUGAUGUCCACCAUGAUGUUCCAGCUGUGUUCUAUAAUUG